GUCGAACGGCAGCACGGGUGCUUGCACCUGGUGGCGAGUGGCGAACGGGUGAGUAAUACAUCGGAACAUGUCCUGUAGUGGGGGAUAGCCCGGCGAAAGCCGGAUUAAUACCGCAUACGAUCUACGGAUGAAAGCGGGGGACCUUCGGGCCUCGCGCUAUAGGGUUGGCCGAUGGCUGAUUAGCUAGUUGGUGGGGUAAAGGCCCACCAAGGCGACGAUCAGUAGCUGGUCUGAGAGGACGACCAGCCACACUGGGACUGAGACACGGCCCAGACUCCUACGGGAGGCAGCAGUGGGGAAUUUUGGACAAUGGGCGAAAGCCUGAUCCAGCAAUGCCGCGUGUGUGAAGAAGGCCUUCGGGUUGUAAAGCACUUUUGUCCGGAAAGAAAUCCUGAGGGCUAAUAUCCUUCGGGGAUGACGGUACCGGAAGAAUAAGCACCGGCUAACUACGUGCCAGCAGCCGCGGUAAUACGUAGGGUGCGAGCGUUAAUCGGAAUUACUGGGCGUAAAGCGUGCGCAGGCGGUUUGUUAAGACCGAUGUGAAAUCCCCGGGCUCAACCUGGGAACUGCAUUGGUGACUGGCAAGCUAGAGUAUGGCAGAGGGGGGUAGAAUUCCACGUGUAGCAGUGAAAUGCGUAGAGAUGUGGAGGAAUACCGAUGGCGAAAGCAGCCCCCUGGGCCAAUACUGACGCUCAUGCACGAAAGCGUGGGGAGCAAACAGAUUAGAUACCCUGGUAGUCCACGCCCUAAACGAUGUCAACUAGUUGUUGGGGAUUCAUUUCCUUAGUAACGUAGCUAACGCGUGAAGUUGACCGCCUGGGGGAGUACGGUCGCAGAUUAAAACUCAAAGGAAUUGACGGGGACC
rnacentral:rRNA from 1 species